rnacentral:rRNA from 1 species
CCUACGGGAGGCAGCAGUGGGGAAUCUUGCGCAAUGGGCGAAAGCCUGACGCAGCAACGCCGCGUGCGGGAAGAAGGCUUUCGGGCUGUAAACCGCUUUCAGCAGGAACGAAAAUGACGGUACCUGCAGAAGAAGGAGCGGCCAACUAUGUGCCAGCAGCCGCGGUGAUACAUAGGCUUCAAGCGUUGUCCGGAUUUAUUGGGCGUAAAGAGUUCGUAGGCGGUCGAGUAAGUCGGGUGUGAAAAUUCUGGGCUCAACCCAGAGACGCCACCCGAUACUGCUUGACUUGAGUUCGAUAGGGGAGUGGGGAAUUCCUAGUGUAGCGGUGAAAUGCGCAGAUAUUAGGAGGAACACCGGUGGCGAAGGCGCCACUCUGGAUCGAUACUGACGCUGAGGAACGAAAGCAUGGGUAGCAAACAGGAUUAGAUACCCUGGUAGUCCAUGCCGUAAACGGUGGGCACUAGGUGUGGGUUUCUAUUAACGAAAUCCGCGCCGUCGCUAACGCAUUAAGUGCCCCGCCUGGGGGUAGGUACGGUCGCGAGACGUAAACGUACGAAGAAGUUAAGUACGGCGUUGAGACGUUGCCGAAGGCGACGACGAGGGAGGAGG